rnacentral:rRNA from 1 species
AUUGAACGCUGGCGGCAUGCCUUACACAUGCAAGUCGAACGGCAGCGGACCUUCGGGUGCCGGCGAGUGGCGAACGGGUGAGUAAUGUAUCGGAACGUACCUUUCAGUGGGGGAUAACGUAGCGAAAGUUACGCUAAUACCGCAUAUUCUGUGAGCAGGAAAGCAGGGGAUCGCAAGAACUUGCGCUGAUUGAGCGGCCGAUAUCAGAUUAGCUAGUUGGUGAGGUAAAGGCUCACCAAGGCGACGAUCUGUAGCGGGUCUGAGAGGAUGAUCCGCCACACUGGAACUGAGACACGGUCCAGACUCCUACGGGAGGCAGCAGUGGGGAAUUUUGGACAAUGGGGGCAACCCUGAUCCAGCCAUGCCGCGUGAGUGAAGAAGGCCUUCGGGUUGUAAAGCUCUUUCGUCCGGGAAGAAAUCGCAUCAGCUGAUACCUGGUGUGGAUGACGGUACCGGAAUAAGAAGCACCGGCUAACUACGUGCCAGCAGCCGCAGUAAUAC